CUGUGCUGCCUUCCCCCCACCCCCACCCCCCGGAGUGGGCCAGGCCUCCCCACGCGCUUCGACCAAGAGCACGCAAGGGAAGUGAUGUUGCGCGUGCAUCUUGUGGGACCAAGCCUUUCCAGAGCCUGCAGCUUCCUUCUCUGCCCUGGGCCGUUGCUGCCUUGGGAGCAAGCCUGGCCGGUUCCCUCCCUCUCUGCGGAGAACCAGAGACAGCACAGCCGCAGGCUGACCCAGGGGACGGAGAGCGUCCGCUCCUUCAGGGGCGUGGACCAAAUCCAGCCCCGGCUGUCCUGCCCACAGAUGAGACCCUAUCAGGUAACCCCAGCCUGGGCACCCGGCCCACCCACAGCAGCUGGAGACCCCAUGAUCAGUGCUGUUUCAGGACCCUAACUCGAGGGAUGGUUUCUUACACAAACAUGAAAGACCGAUAAAGGAUUUCUCCCGGAUGGUCCCAGAUAGACGAGCCUGAGAUAAGCCUUUGCGCCUGUUUUGCAGGGGCACAGGGAAGAGAGGCAGGGGCGAGGCAGGGCAGGUGGCUCCAGGCUCAUGAGCUAAGCACCAGCCAAAGGUCCCACCUGCUAACAUCACAUCGGGCUUUGCCAUUUCUCCCUGUGACUUUCGGGCACCCGCACGUCCAGCCCACAGCCUCGGCCGUGCUGGGAGAGCAGGAAAACGGACCGUGACCCUCGGGUACAAGGCUGCUCUUCGAGUGAUGAGCACGGUCGUCCUACAGGGAAACAGCGGCUGUGUUGGGCCAGAGCCCCGUUUGACCUCGCUCCUGAAGAGAACGUUGACUUCCCGAGCGGGAGCUGGGGCCUAGGCUUGCUGCUAGGCAAUUACACGUGUUGCGUUUCCACACAAGCCCCGCUUAGUCCCAGACUGCCGUGAUUCAAGUGCUGAUGGUUUUGAGGGUUUUGAAGGAUGGAAACAGUGUAUCUGAGCUCCAGGGAAGCCCGUGCGUUCAAAUUACCCCCAAAACAAGUCAAGGCAGCUCAGAAGAGGCAGCCCCGUACCUGGGAGCCCCCCAUGCGUGUGCUCGGCAGAGGAACGCGCUCGCAGCUGCUCAGGGAGCGCGACUCAUGCCAAUCUGAGAACAAGAAGUCACUGUAAAAGGCAAUUCCGUUCCUGAGCUACUCACAGAGACGGGGAAUAUCAGGCAGGCUCUACGAAACUGUAAAUGACAUCUGAUUGGAACUGCCCUGGAAACUCGAGUGUGUGCGAGAACGGAGUCUCCCGCUAAGUACCGAGGCUUCACGGAAAGCCCAGCGCCCGGAGACAGCUGAGUGAGGACACGGGACCGGCUGCACGGGUGCACAGCGGCAUGGCUCAGCCCGCCCCACUCGCGGCCAGUUGUCCCUGCACCCGCUGGAGCCGCGGGGAGCACCCCGCAGGAGGUGCCUCCUGCCUAUCACCAUGCACCCCGCAAGCCGCCUUUUCAGGCUUGCUCUCUGCGAUCCCAGAGGGCUUCGGAGGGACCCUGCACCCUUGUGCAUGGGCCUCAUUCCCCAUCCUGUGGGGGGCAGGAAGGUGGACUGCCCAGGGCCUCUCUCUCCCCCCUGCCUCCUCUGUCCUGAAAACUGUCAAGGUGACCUUGAGAAAGCUGAGGGGGACAUCAAGAAAAAGAAAACUGCUUUUCUUUAUAGAUCAGCUAAGACAGAAAUCGCCUUAAAAUUAACAAUAUGUAGAACUGUAUCAGCUGCCAGGAAUGGAUGGAUCGCCCUCUGUUUCAUGAGAAACAGUCAAGAUAAAUAACUCAAAUAACAUGAAAGUGACAAAAUUCUUUAAAGUUUCCAAAUGGAAAAACAUGCAUUUAAGCCAUGCCUUUGAAGUGUGCCUACAGGCCACUGCUGGAGUCGGCUCUGGGGGUCCCCCACGGGGAGGAAAUUUAUCCACAGGAAAGAACAGAAUGUGCCUUUUUCACACAAUGGCAUCAAGAGCAUUACAGAGAUCAUUCUAACAGCUCUAUUUUGCUAUAACAGAUGGAUUCCUUCCACACGAUGGGACCCCACCCUCGCCGCACCCCGACGCAUCUCUUUUUGAACUGUGGCGCCAGGCGAGUCCUGCCGUGGUCGGCCGAGAGCAGAGAUGGAGGUCCCGCCAGGAGACUGCUCCGACCCAGGGAACGCGACUGGAGUGACCUGUUACUUCAAGCAAAUGUAAACGCAUGCUAUCAAUCUGAGCUUUCAUCAGUGACACAGUAUUUGAAUUACUGCUUUGAUGGGUAGCGCGUGUCCGCAACCUUCAGGCCUCAGGAUCACGGAGCUGGCAGCUGGGCGCAGGUGUGACACACAGCAGGAUGCUUUUCCACCUGAAGCAGGCAAAGGCAGAGAUCCAGCUUUUCCAUCUUUUCCCUCCUGUUUUUCUUCUUCUCCCCCUGCCUUCUGCUCAGUGCUUAUCACAGACCUGUUACGGUCCAGACCCCACGUUGGGUCUAAAUACACAAUGGCCAGAAGGUGACACGGCCCCAGCUCUCACGAGCUGAUGAUCUUCCGAGGCAAACAGAAAAUUUGACGUCCUGCGACAGACACGUAGAUCCACGGGAGCACAUCGCAGUCAAGAUCCAGAACAUUCCCAUCCUUCCAGAAAGUUCUUCAUGCUACCUUCCAGUCACCCCUCAUUCCACCUAAGUAGUAACGGCCGCUCUGAUUUUACAGAAGCUUCUCUGCCAAAAUGUGUCAGGGCCCAAACAAGGGGAAAUGGGCUCCUUUUGUGUGUCCCUGGGGGACUCUGUCAGGACAGAGGAGGCAGCGCAGAGUGGGAGCCGUCCGCGGUCGGAGGGAGGGCAAGGAGCGGGGGAUCCAGCAGUUAGCCGUCGAGGGCUGCCCAAGCGGGAAGAAGGAGCUCCAAACAGAAAACUCCAGAUGGACGGGAAAGGGGGAAGACAGACACAUCUGUGUUUACGACUCUGGGGUAAUGUCUUACCAUUUACACAGUGGAGCCCUCUCGCCUCGCUUGGCUUUGUUCAGAAUGCACUAACCUAAUGCAUUUUCAUCAGAAUGGUAACAGAGUGCGAUUCUCCAUCACCCUUGUGCUCUCUGAAACCCCGACCUCGUGCCAGAGCCCGGACAAGGUCACCGCGCGGUCAGUCUUAACCAGCUUCAAACACUUUGCUCAUAUUUUUUCAUUCUCAUCGCUGAAUCAGAAAGUCUUUGGGAUGGAGUCCCUGCACUGUGGAACCCGAUGCUCUGUCUGGCUACAGGGUCAGGAUGGAGUGGGGUUCUAGGACACACCCUGCUGGUGUCAGAGAUUCGGUUGGUGGUGGUGUGAGGAGCCCUCGCCGAACGCACACGUCGGAAAUGGGGCAUCAGGACGCUUUUACCAACUACGUCGAUGGAUGUGGAUUGCUGUGAGCGCUGCCUGAAACCCUCGCCCUAGAAAUCUAUGCAGUGAGAUGGAGCAGAGAAAGGAAGAACUGCCACUAUAUCCUUCAAACCCGGGGUCCUGGGGGUGGAGCUUCCGUGCUGCGUGUGGAAGAGCAUCCAGAGCCUCGGGGAACGGCUGCGCUGGAGACUCCUCAGAAACUCGGUGUGAGCGGUUUUACCUACGCCCUCUUCUCAUUUUAGACCCAGAAGGAUUCCCAAAUGAAACCCUGAUGAGUGGACCCCAUCUGGGGAUGAAGACUACCAUCAGUGAACUCAGAGGGCUGCCCAGGGAGGUCAAGGUGCCAGACUCUCUAGCUACAGGACAGAGGAUGCACGUCUGCCUCCGCCUCGAGCCAAGCCAGUCUCUGACUCUGCUCCCUGUGCCGGAGUGCAGUCCCUUCAGCAUGUGGCUAGCUGGAAAGAUGAACAGAAGUGGCACGUGUUGAUGUAGGACUUCUGAGAGGAAGUAUUUAAUUGCCAGUGGGAGACCUGCCUCAUUCUUCUUUUGCUGAGGAGACUGGAGGCUGGAGUCUCUCUCAGCUGGUUCCUGGAUGACCCUGUGAGCAGAGCUCCUCUCCUCACCCAUGACCAGGAAAUGGGGUGUGUUUGUUACAUAGACUCCUGCUUGUCCUGACUGAUACACUUCAUGGCAAAUGACUUAAAUUACUUAACAUACUGUUCACCAUCCAUAAUCUCUUUGUUUACUUAUUCUCUGUUGUCUGCUCUUGAAAUGUGAUGUCUAUGUGGGCAGAAACCUUCUCCCUCCUUUUCACUAAUAUAUUCUUCAGAACCUAACCUGUUAUCUGGAAAAUAGUAAAUGUUCAGUCAAUAUUUGCUCAAUUAAUAAACACAGUCUUUAAAUAA